rnacentral:rRNA from 1 species
GAUGAACGCUGGCGGCGUGCCUAAUACAUGCAAGUCGAGCGAACAGACGAGGAGCUUGCUCCUUUGACGUUAGCGGCGGACGGGUGAGUAACACGUGGAUAACCUACCUAUAAGACUGGGAUAACUUCGGGAAACCGGAGCUAAUACCGGAUAACAUGCUGAACCGCAUGGUUCAACAGUGAAAGACGGUUUUGCUGUCACUUAUAGCUGGAUCCGCGCCGCAUUAGCUAGUUGGUAAGGUAACGGCUUACCAAGGCAACGAUGCGUAGCCGACCUGAGAGGGUGAUCGGCCACACUGGAACUGAGACACGGUCCAGACUCCUACGGGAGGCAGCAGUAGGGAAUCUUCCGCAAUGGGCGAAAGCCUGACGGAGCAACGCCGCGUGAGUGAAGAAGGUCUUCGGAUCGUAAAACUCUGUUAUUAGGGAAGAACAAAUGUGUAAGUAACUAUGCACGUCUUGACGGUACCUAAUCAGAAAGCCACGGCUAACUACGUG